UCAACAUGAGAUUUGGAGGGGACAGACAUCCAAACCAUAUCCCAUGGCGACACAAGAUGUACAGAGAGCAGAUGAACCUUACCUCCCUGGACCCCCCACUGCAGCUCCGACUCGAGGCCAGCUGGGUCCAGUUCCACCUGGGUAUUAACCGCCAUGGGCUCUACUCCCGGUCCAGUCCUGUUGUCAGCAAACUUCUGCAAGAUAUGAGGCACUUUCCCACCAUCAGUGCUGAUUACAGUCAAGAUGAGAAAGCCUUGCUGGGAGCAUGUGACUGCACCCAGAUUGUGAAACCCAGUGGGGUCCACCUCAAGCUGGUGCUGAGGUUCUCGGAUUUCGGGAAGGCCAUGUUCAAACCCAUGAGACAGCAGCGAGAUGAGGAGACACCAGUGGACUUCUUCUACUUCAUUGACUUUCAGAGACACAAUGCUGAGAUCGCAGCUUUCCAUCUGGACAGGAUUCUGGACUUCCGACGGGUGCCGCCAACAGUGGGGAGGAUAGUAAAUGUCACCAAGGAAAUCCUAGAGGUCACCAAGAAUGAAAUCCUGCAGAGUGUUUUCUUUGUCUCUCCAGCGAGCAACGUGUGCUUCUUCGCCAAGUGUCCAUACAUGUGCAAGACGGAGUAUGCUGUCUGUGGCAACCCACACCUGCUGGAGGGUUCCCUCUCUGCCUUCCUGCCGUCCCUCAACCUGGCCCCCAGGCUGUCUGUGCCCAACCCCUGGAUCCGCUCCUACACACUGGCAGGAAAAGAGGACCCCAGGACUUCUUCUCCCCCUCAGGUGGGAGGUCAAUCCCCUUUACUGUGACACAGUGAAACAGAUCUACCC
rnacentral:sRNA from 1 species